GACGAACGCUGGCGGCGUGCCUAAUACAUGCAAGUCGAGCGGACGAAUCGAAAGCUUGCUUUUGAUUCGUUAGCGGCGGACGGGUGAGUAACACGUGGGCAACCUGCCCUGUAGACGGGGAUAACACCGAGAAAUCGGUGCUAAUACCGGAUAACACGAAAUGUCGCAUGACGUUUCGUUGAAAGACGGCGCAAGCUGUCGCUACAGGAUGGGCCCGCGGCGCAUUAGCUAGUUGGUGAGGUAACGGCUCACCAAGGCGACGAUGCGUAGCCGACCUGAGAGGGGGAUCGGCCACACUGGGACUGAGACACGGCCCAGACUCCUACGGGAGGCAGCAGUAGGGAAUCUUCCGCAAUGGACGAAAGUCUGACAGAGCAACGCCGCGUGAGCGAAGAAGGCCUUCGGGUCGUAAAGCUCUGUUGUUAGGGAAGAACAAGUAACGCAGUAACUGGCGUUACCGUGACGGUACCUAACGAGAAAGCCACGGCUAACUACGUG
rnacentral:rRNA from 1 species